ACAUGAACAAGGUAGUUUCCCAGGGUGAAGUUCAAACGCUGCCCUCUGAUGUGCUGACCCCUGAGGUUUCCCCAGAUGUGGGAAACUUAACUACAUAGUUUGUGGUAGUUUGAGCUGCAUUCACACUCUCUCCUA
rnacentral:snRNA from 1 species